rnacentral:lncRNA from 1 species
GGGGUAGGAGGUGGAGGUGGCACUCCAGGUAAUGGGGGAAGGGGUGGAUGAGGGACAUCAAACAUUGAUGAGGGUGGUGGAGGUGGAGGAGGUGAGACACUAGACAUCGAUGGGGGUGAUGAAGGUGGGACACUAGACACCAAUUGGGGUGGUGGAGAUGGAGGUGAGGCACUAGUUGAAAAAGUGGUUGAUAAAGGUGAAGGAGGAAGUGAAGCACUAGAUAUCGAUGGGGGAGGAGGUUGGGUGUUAGAUGUUGAUGGGGGCGGUGGAGAUGGAGGAGGUGGGGCACUAGUCGUCAAAGUGGUUGGUGAAGGAGGAGGUGGGGUGCUAGAUAUUGAUGGGGGUGGUGGAGAUGGAGGAGGUGGAGGGAGUAGGGCACUAGUCAUCAAAGUAUUUGGUGAAGGUGAAGGAGGAAUUGAAGCACUAGACAUCGAUGGGGGAGGAGGUGGGGUGCUAGAUAUUGAUGGGGGUGGUGGAGAUGGAGGAGCUGGGGUACUAGUCAUCGAAGUGGUUGGUGAAGGAGGAGGUGGGGUGCUAGAUAUUGAAGAAGGUGGUGGAGAUGGAGGAGGUAGGGCACUAGUUGUCAAAGUGGUUGGUGAAGGAGAACGAGGAAUUGAAGCACUAGACAUCGAUGAGGGAAGAGGUUGGAUGCUAGAUAUUGAUAGGGGUGAUGGAGACAAAAGAGGUGGGGCACUAGUCGUUGCAGAGGGUGGUGAAGAUGGAGGAGGAAGUGGGGCAGUAGACAUCAAUGUGGGAGGUGGAGAUGGUAGUGAAGGUGAAGGAGGUGGGGCACUAGUCAUCAAAGUGGUUGGCGAAAGUGAAAGAGGAAGUGGAGCACUAGAUACCGACGGGGGAGGAAGUGGGGUGUUAGAUAUUGAUGGGGGUGGUGGAGAUGGAGGAGGUGGGGCACUAGUUGUCAAAAAGGGUGGUGAAGGUGGAGCAGGAAACGAGGCAGUAGACAUCAAUAGGGGAGGUGGAGAUGGUGGUGGAAUUGAAGGAGGUAAGGCACUAGUAACCGAAGAAGGUGGUGAAGGUGGAG